rnacentral:rRNA from 1 species
GAGUUUGAUCGUGGCUCAGAUUGAACGCUGGCGGCAUGCCUUACACAUGCAAGUCGAACGGCAGCACGGGAGCUUGCUCCUGGUGGCGAGUGGCGAACGGGUGAGUAAUGCAUCGGAACGUAUCCUGGAGUGGGGGAUAACGUAGCGAAAGUUACGCUAAUACCGCAUAUUCUGUGAGCAGGGAAGCGGGGGACCUUCGGGCCUCGCGCUCUUGGAGCGGCCGAUGUCGGAUUAGCUAGUUGGUGAGGUAAAGGCUCACCAAGGCGACGAUCCGUAGCAGGUCUGAGAGGAUGAUCUGCCACACUGGAACUGAGACACGGUCCAGACUCCUACGGGAGGCAGCAGUGGGGAAUUUUGGACAAUGGGGGCAACCCUGAUCCAGCCAUGCCGCGUGAGUGAAGAAGGCCUCGG